CCCCACUCCACUAGCCUCCAUCCACACACCCUUACCACUCUCCUCUCUCGCACCGUGGCAUUCCAGGGCGUAGCCCCGCCUCUCCUCCCUCUCAGCCGUGGGCGAAUGUUGAGCCAGACCUUGCCUCGCAUGGCCGCUCGUCUGCAUUGACACUGCUGGCUCUCUCCAAACCUUCUCCAUUUCCUCUCGAGGUUGCUCUCUCCCCUCCAUCUAAACUCGUUCUUUUCUUUUUCCAGAAUCUCGCAGAGGCGUUGUCGCCGUCGAUCUCGGUCCACGGCAUGGCUGUUGCUGUCAACGACCACCGGACCGCGUCCUCGUCUGUAGGUCCUCCGGAGGGCCUGCAGCAUGGAGAUCGGCCGCCCCCGUCCGUCGCUCCUUCUCUGCGUCGUCUCCCUCGUCCCUGAGCUGCCCGUCUUCGUUUGGUGAAGGCCGCCGCCAACGUCGCCAUGAACUCGGGCGUUGCAUCCAGCUUCUGACGGGUCCACUGCACUUCCCCGAGCUCACUCCUUCUCCUCUCACCUCUCUUCAUCUCUCAGAGCAGCGGAAGGAGGAGCCCUGCUCCCUUCUUUCCUCGCUGGCGGAGAAGACCGAGCGGUGUCGUGCAUGUCGCCGCGCACGUCGUGGCCGCGGCUGCCACCACUCCUCCACCCCUUUAUUUUUGUUCCCUUCGACGCUGAUAUCUCCCUCUAGUUGAACCGCCCCUUUUUCGUUUCCAGGAACCCGCGCCAGGAUGUCGCCUUCGUUGGAGCUCCGUCCGCCUCAACGUCGCGCUCGUCUCCGCCUAGGUCGACGUUCGGGAGCGAGCUCGCGCGACCGAGACGGCUUGAGCGUGCCGCUUCGUCCUGGCGUCGUCGCCCUCGUCUCUGGGCAUCACCGCGAGCCACCCGGAGUCGCCACCGCCAACAAGCAUCCGGGAGCAUCGUCGGAGAAGCUCCCGCGUGUCCGUGUCGUCGCCUCGAGGUCGCAUCAGAUCGAUGGUCGCCGUUGUCCAAGUUCUGUCGUCCGUGUCGGUCUGUCCCGGCACCGCGCAUGCUCCCGUCCGCGUCGACGUCUCCAGCACGACCAAGAUGCUUCGCUUGGCCACCCUAGUCCGCCUCGCCAUCAUCUGGCAGUCCUAGUCGAGCUCCGGCAGUACCUGAUUCGAAUGUUGACGGACUCGAAGGAGGAGAAGAAUUUGAGGAAUUCGAAGAAGACCAGGGACACAUAGCCAACCAAGGCAAGCCACCUCUUGAUGCAUAUCUCAUCCUAAUUAUCUUACUCUUGCAUUAUUAGCAGCUUUAUAAAUUGCAUGAUUUUAUUUAUUUAUGUGGGUGGUUAUUGCCACACGGAGUUUUAUUAUUCCACCCUUACGGGUGCAUCCCUCGUUGAUACCCAAUAAACAAAUAUAUGUUAGUGAUAUGGUGCUUAACACCUUAUCAUCCUUGUCGCCUCUUUUCAAAGAAAAGUCGGACUAUAGGUCGGGAGCCUCUUUAAAAAGGUUUGUGAAAUUUUUUUCAAGAAAGAAGUGUUUCGAAAACCUUGGAAUGGGGUAGCCCUGCCCAAGUGUGAGUUUAUGAAAAGAAAAAGGUUUUUGGGAAGAAAAAUUGCUGGAGGCAAGUGGAUAAAAUUGUUUUCGAAAAACUUUGGUGACUGAGUACCUAACCGGACCUAGCCAGUACAACCACAUUACCCUUUAGUGGGACGGGGCGCAGCGUAGUAGUUUGUCUCGCCUUAGUUUGGGUCCUGCAAGUGUAGUGGCAGUCCGACCAUGGACGCUUCGACCGGGGUUCUUCCCAUGAGAAGGGACGCAACCCAUUUGCCUUUUUAGGUACGCGGGGUACAACUUAUGAGCUCCCAUUGAAAGAUGCCGAAGUGGUUGGAUGGCAUUCCGGAGGGUCGGGUGUCGGGGAAUUUGCAACUCCUGGGUAAACGGCAUCCCGGACUCUGGUGUUGGGAGGUACAACUCAUUCGGCAUGUCUUAGACUAAGGCGAGCAAGCGAAAAACUGCGAUCGGUUAUCCGAGCCUCGCGUUUUGACGCUUGGUGAACCAGGGAUGAUCCCGGCGGAUUUAUCGGAUCUUGUGGAAGUGUACAACCUCUGCAGAGUGUAAAUCUAUUCGAAUAGCCGUGUCCGCGGUUAUGGACGUGGGAAUGGAAGCUUCUUGGCAUUAAAGAAAGUUUUGGUUUAUAAAAAUGUUUUCCAAAGGGUUUGGAAAAGGAUACCAGUGGGACUGGUGGAAAUGUACCUGGGAGGUACGGUGGAAGUUGGAAAAGUUGUUUUGGUCAUACUGAGAUGGCCGGAAAGGAAAAUGGGUCACCCGUACCUAUUAGUCUUCAAAAGAAACUUGCUUUCAAAAAGGUUUUCAACAAAGAUAUAGAGAUGUCAUACUCUCGAGAGGAACCACCUCUCACUCCUUGUAAUCCUAGAAUAGUGCCUGUUCCUUGCUACUGCCAAAUUGCAUAUCCUUUACUUCUCUCUAAGGUGGUUUGCGAGUACAAUUCAUAAUGUACUCAUGGCUUUGUCCCUGGCUAUUUUGAUGUAUCCCCGGUCACCGACGUCGCUACACCAAGACCAACAAGUCCCCCAAGUGGAUCGAUGACACGAGCCCGAGUCAAAGCUCUACAUGAUGAGGUGAACUCGCUCCUCACCACCCUUGAUCUUGGUACCCCUUUGGAUGGAUUUCUACCUCAUGCCGACGUGCUAUGUGUCAUUAGGUACAAGGCGCGUCAAGACCCCGGAGAGGAGGAGACGCCAAGGUCAAGGGAGGGAGAGAAGCAGCUGGACAUGGAGAUGAUCAUGAAGUCGAAGCCGACGUCGCUCGAAGCGCUCCAAGGAAGAGACGGACGCUGGCCGGUCCAGGACCCGGUCAGACCGGACCCACAACCGGACGCCCCGGUCCACGAGCCCGGUCAACCGGGCGCAAACCGGGCCAGCUCCCUCGUACCGGACGACGACCGGACCCAGGACCGGAUUCUUCGCAGAUUCCCGAUUUGCGCCCGGUCGACCGGACCCAUGACCGGACAGCCCGGUCACAGGCCCGGUCAGACCGGACCCAAACCGGAUCUGACGGGAAUGCCCCACCAAACUGCCUUAACUUAUCCAUUCGCGUACCUGUUCGCCCUUGCUGGCCAUGUGUGCCUAUAUAAGUAGCUGGGACCCCUCCUUUACUCUUUAGACUUGUUUUGAACUCAA